GUUUGUUAUAAGCGAGAAGAAAGCAUAUAAAUACCGGGUGCGUUUUGGAUCCUCUCCCGGGCAGAGUGUGUCACAGGGUUAAUGAAGCAUUACGCAUGCAGUGGCCUCAAAGUAGGCUACGGUUAUUUCACAUCGAAAGUUUUAAACUCACCUGUUUGAAAUUGCAUUUCUUUAGAGAACAAUAAUAAAACAUAAGGGAACACUUUGAAAAGUAAAAGUCCCAUCGUCCUGCAGCAAUCCAAGUCCGCGGGGUAUAAAAAAAAACCACGCUUUUCCUUGCAGAGACAGAACUUGGCCGCCAGGCGGAGCCGGUGCAGAAUAUCUCCGUCUGAGAGCGAGUCUGCGCGCUCAACGGGGGACGUGUGGAGCAUCCAGCCGCCAGACUUCUCUCCCAAACUCUACACGUCCCUCUCAGAUCCCGGGAGGGACAGAAGAUUGUCCCGACGUUCUCAAGCCCGGUCCUCCCUCGACUCAGGCCGUACCCGUGGACGAGAUGUCUCCACGGUUUUGCACGUGAAGCGCGUUGUAGCGGAGGCGUUAGGGGGUGAGACCCACGGCCGGAGGGAGAACAGGAGGUUCAUCACGUCCUACAAACCGCCGGAUCCUCUUGAAGAGGAGCUGAUGUUUGUCAAACUGGGGAAGUUCCCGCCUUCAGGUCCUUACAGGAACCCCCGACCGCACGACUUCCGACCGGUACGGAGAAUCUGUGUUUUUCUAAAGAUUUAUUUUCGCAAUUUUGAUGCUUUAUUAUAGAGAGGAAGGUAUGGGAGGGGAGGACAUGCAGCAAAUGACCACAGACAGGAUGCAAGUUUUUUAAUCUUUAUCUAUCAAAUAGAAAAUAAAUGAAUUUUGAACAGUAUGGAAUUAUGUUUUAUUAAUCUCUACGCCAAUCAAGCUUGAGAAAUGUAAUAUAUAUUGUUAUACAAUAUGUGGUGCCAAAGACAAGCGUGAGAACAAGCUCACUGCUGCUCUCUGGUGUCACUACAGCAGGACGACGACCUUCCAAACAUGGCCGCUGUGACCAAGAAGGACCCCGGCGACCUGGAGUUUAAACUGAACCACCGCGACAUCUGUAGGAAGUACCUCACAUCAGUAGACUAUAGUUGUAUAUAUCACACAUCAGACCACUGUGUUCAUGUGUCUUAUGAAAUUCUGUUGUAGUAUUCAGCUGGUGACGGCUUUCUAGAUUUUGUCUUUACUUAUUUGAAACAUGAAGUGUUAUUGAGAGGAGAAGGCCGGGCCUAGGGAGGCCACCAGGUAGAACCAAGGAGUCUGGGUUCUGGGUGACUUUUUCUGCUUGAAUCUCUGUUUCUUCAGGUCACUAAUACGUUGUUUAUUUUCCUCCAGUGAGGACUACCGGGUCCGAGUCCGACCGCACCUCUGGAGACCAGAUGAAGACCGUGCUGAAGAUGAACACCUACAGGGCAGUUGAACCAACAUGGGACCUGCGUCUUCUACUGCCCAGGACACAAUGGCCGCCCAGAUCAGCCUCCUUUACGGUACGCAGACGUUUGUCUCCGUUCAUCAUAUCAGCUUUGCCGUGGUUGGUUAGUUUAUUUCGUUUAUAACAAACUCUUUAUUUUUAACUAUGUUGUGUGUUGUCUGAUUUUUGUUUUGCAUAUAUGUAUAUUAUUGCCACACACACACCCCCCUUUACAACACUAUCCAAACCAAUAAUAUAAUAAAAGUGAUAUUAUUAAUUUACCAUAGUAAUAAAACUGUCAAGUCAUCUCACUCUGAACAGUCAAAUUAAAGUACAUUUCGCCCACAACCCAACCAUGCACCUCCUAAGUAAGAAGCUAAGUAUUAACGUGGGACUGCACCUUCCAGAGACACCGACGGAGCCGAUCUGUGUACAGCGCCUUCAUGGAGCGAGUGGAGGAGAAGCUGUCGAGGUCCUGGACUCACAACCCGUAGAGACCACCCUGGCUAGCACCACUCUGGGCUUCCGAUGUAUCGACUCUGUAUGUUCUGUGACUGCAUUAACAGGCGUUUCUGUUUAGUUACCUGUGUCUGUAUGAACCCACAAACGGGCGGCAUGUGACUCGGGAGGUAGAGCGGGUCGGCUGGUAACCGGAAGGUUGCCAGUUCGAUUCCCGGCUCCGCCUAGCUGUGUGUCGAGGUGUCCCUGAGCGAGAAACCUCACCUGGACUGCAAUAUUGUAAGGCGCUUUGUGUGGCCACUGGUUAGAAAAGCGCUGUAUGAAUGCAGUUGAUUUGCCAUUAAGAAAUAAAAGGAAGCCAAUUACAGUUGACUGAAAUAAAAAC
ensembl:lncRNA